AAUCAACGCUGGCGGCGUGCCUCAGACAUGCAAGUCGAACGAUUAAAGCUCUCUUCGGAGAGUGUAUAGAGUGGCGCACGGGUGAGUAACACGUAAGUAAUCUACCCUCGAGUGGGGAAUAACAACCGGAAACGGUUGCUAAUACCGCAUAAUGCAGCGGCACCGCAAGGUGACAGUUGUUAAAGAUUUAUCGCUUGAGGAGGAGCUUGCGGCAGAUUAGCUAGUUGGUAGGGUAACGGCUUACCAAGGCUACGAUCUGUAACCGGUCUAAGAGGACGGUCGGUCACACUGACACUGAAUAACGGGUCAGACUCCUACGGGAGGCAGCAGUCGGGAAUUUUGGGCAAUGGGCGAAAGCCUGACCCAGCAACGCCGCGUGAAGGAUGAAGUAUUUCGGUAUGUAAACUUCGAAAGAAUAGGAAGAAUUAAUGACGGUACUAUUUAUAAGGUCCGGCUAACCACGUGCCAGCAGCCGCGGUAACUGAGUCGGAG
rnacentral:rRNA from 1 species